ensembl:lncRNA
AUACAAUGAGCUGAGACACUGUAGUCACUGAAGAAAGAACAAGCUCUUGGCCUGAUCGUGGCUGUUCCUCAGGUACUUCUGCUUUUUGCUUUUACAAGGCAAUUUUCAUGAUAUUGUUCUGAAGAUUUCUCUUGAGUAACCCUGAUUAUCUCACACUUCUAUAAAUUUUAGUUAACUAGUAAACAAUAUUGGAUUGACCAUUAUCCAGUUUCAUCUUAAUUAUGAAAAACUACAGUUGUGAAUUUGGUCAGUGCCUUAAUGAGGCACCAUUUCUUUCCAAGUAGUUCCUGAAUACACUGAGUUAGUACUCUUGAGCAUUAAUCUUUGCUUUCACUUCCUGGCAAGUAGCAGUAGUGUAAUUUCAUAAGGAAUGAUGCGCAGUAAAAUGGGGAAUUUCUAACUCUGCAUAAUAAUAGCCAUUCUGAUCUGCAGUGAAUUACUUUAUGAUUUAUACAAGUAACACUCCUUCUUUCGUUUCCUUCCAGAAGAGUGGUUACACAUAAGGCCAGAGGCUGUACUCUAUACACAAAAUACAACAAGUUGGCAAUAGUCAAUAGUCUGUCUCAAAUAGGAAAAGACUGAUGUUAGAAUAACAAACAUAUUACCUCUUGAUAUCUAAUAUUAUUUUUUUUAAUGAUGCUUUUUUGUUUCUUUCUUGGGGUGGAAUGGGAGAUUUUAAAGUGAAGAAACAAAGCAGUGAAUCAAACCACUAAGUCAGUGUUACUUACUUACAUUGGGAAUACUAUUCAUGGUUUCUAGGUACUUAUACAACCGUACUUGCUGGGGUAACAUUUGAAUGCCUGACAGUUUUUAUUAUAUUUUCUUUCACCUGUAAAACAGGGAAAUGUUGUUUACAGUUUAGAAGUUGGGAACCUGAGCCACAAAAACAAACAAACAAACAAAUAAAUGCAAACAGAGAGAUUUAGAAAGCUUAUAUUUCUCUUCAAUCUCUGGUCUUAAUAUCAUCUACUGGAUAUUUGUGAUGACCAUGCAGCUAACUAGAGCCAAACAGUUAGGAAAUUAGUCAUGGGGAAUUUAAACUGUUUGACCAUGGCCCUUCGUGAUUCAUCUGCCAUCUCAUUAGAAACUUCUGGUAAUGACUGUGUCUCGGGAGUUUAUUCAUCCCAGACUCAACAUCAUGCCUUUACCGCUAGAUCAUCAGAUGUAAUUUUGCCCUAAGGAGCAGGAGACGUGAUUUGAUUAAGUCCAAGUUCCUUAUUCAGAUUACUUGCAGAUUUUAGGCAAUAUACAUAGGUUUAACCAAAAAAGUCUUUCCAUGAACAUGAUGUGAAACUGUGCAGGAGGUUGUGCACUGUGUGAGCUUUCAGAGUCAUAAGAGGGACGGAGUCUGUAGCCAUUCAUUCAGCAGAGGGAAGUGGGAAUUAUAGUAAGCUCUAAGAAGGCCUACUGUAUUCAAACAAGCCCCAGGAUUUAUCUCCCUGGCUGUUUAAAUUUGUUAUCCUUGUGAGAUCAUGGUUUUACACCAUCCAUUUUGAAGAAGAGACGUUGAUCUUAGAUUGGUAUUGCUGUCUUGUGGGCCAUGAUCCUGCUUUCCAUCUGUUUGAUAGGUAUAUCGGUUAGGAGAACUCAAUGCUACAGAUAGAUGCUAGAAUGGAAAUACUUGUUAAUUGUUUGCAUAAAGGAAAGAAUGUUGGGAAUGAUUUAGAUCUUUUUUUUUUUUUCCAAUGGACAUUAAAACAAAAGGCAAACCUUGAUAUUUUAUGCCCAGAGAUCUUGAGCUGUAGCAAGUAACACAGACAGGAUGCAAGAACUGAUAUUAGAUCCUGACAUACUGGAUCUAGAUUAUGUAAACACAGGUGUUUCCCAACAUGAUAAAAAGAGAUUUACUUUCUUAACAUGACAUUUUUCCUGCUGGAAGUUCAGAACAAAAUAGAAACGUAUUUGCUGUUGAUCAUAAAUUGGAACAUUUUUACCCCUGUGAUUUAGAAUCAUAGAAUCACAAGGUUAGAAACGGCCUGCAAGAUCAUCUAGUCCAACUGCGUUCCUAUUCCCAUCUGUACUGCAUGAAUAGGGCUUUGUUAGUAUGCUUCUUUUCGUAUUAAAAAUAAAAUCAUGAGCUUUUGUCACCCACCACAAGCUAUUUAAAGAGCUUCUUGGUAUUUAAGGUCACUGGUUUUCUAACAGGAAAUGGAGGCAUGCUGUGGGAAAAAUCUCUAGUGUAAACAUUUAAAUAAUAGCGAGACUGUGUAAAAAUCAACCACACUCAAAGGACUUAGAAGUAAAGUCUGUAUAUGUGUGCACCAAGAUAUAAAGCCAGCAUUUGUUUACAAU